UUGCCCACUUUGAGAUGAUCUGUUCUAUAAGUGGCCAAUAUAGAGGGGUAUAGCAAAGCUCUAUAAAACUCAAAGUAAAAGAAAUCCAUUUUUGCUUUGAAUCCUGUCUAGUGCAACAAAG